ensembl:lncRNA
UAGUUGCCAGAUGCUGUCCUGUCGGACAUUAUUCUUCAUGUGGUCCUGGAGGAGGGUGAUGCUGCAUUAUUAAAUCUGUCUUUGGUUUGUUCCAAAUUCAGAAGUCUGGUGUAUACAGACUCAAUUUGAAAGAGGGCACACUUCUGCUGACUUGACAGUGUAACAAAAUGGAGAACAAGUCUGAGCCAUGCCAAGAAUUCUUAAAAAUGUACACACUGCAGCCCUGCGAUGAGGUUUACAAGAACUGCUUACCAGCCACCAGAUCCAGUCUGUAUGCAGAUCAGAGGGUCACUGCAGUCACCCGGAUCCAGUAUGUAUCCAGCCCAGAUGGUGGAUCAUCACCUAGAGAGCACCUCUACAGCCCUGAAAGACAGCGGAGACAAGGACAACUAGAGCCCCAGAGAAAGAUCCCCUGUAAAGACCUUGUCUUAGACGACCACCGGGACAAGACCACAGGAAACAGAUGAUUCUUCUGCACAAUCUGACUUUGCUGCAGCCUGGAAUUGAACUGCUGGUUUCGUCUGGUCAGAGGAGAACUGGCCCCCCAACUGAGCCUGGUUUCUCCCAAGGUUUUCUCUCCUUUCUGUCACCGAUGGAGUUUUGGUUCCUCUGGUUUGCUUAGUUGGGGAUACUUCAUUUACAGCGAUAUCAUUGACUUGAUUGCAAAUGAUUGCACAGAUACGAAUUAAACUGAACUGAGCUGGAUGAUGACAUCACUGAGUUCAAUGAUGAACUGCCUUUAACUAAAAAUUUUGUUUACUAUUGUCCUUCUGCAUUAUUGACACACACUAUGCUCCUAUUUAAUACUGUAAAGUUGCUUUGACACAAUCUGUAUUAUUAAAAGCACUACAUAAAUAAAGGAGACUUGACUUGACUAUGUUGGAAGAGG